rnacentral:rRNA from 1 species
CCUACGGGUGACAGCAGUGAGGAAUAUUGGUCAAUGGGCGUAAGCCUGAACCAGCCAAGUCGCGUGCGGGAUGACGGUUCUAUGGAUCGUAAACCUCUUUUAUAAGGGAAUAAAGUGCGGGACGUGUCCCGUUUUGUAUGUACCUUAUGAAUAAGGAUCGGCUAACUCCGUGCCAGCAGCCGCGGUAAUACGGAGGAUCCGAGCGUUAUCCGGAUUUAUUGGGUUUAAAGGGUGCGUAGGCGGCCUGUUAAGUCUGCGGUGAAAUUCUGUGGCUCAACCAUAGAAUUGCCGUGGAAACUGGGGUGAUUGAGUAUGUUGGAGGCAGGCGGAAUGCGUGGUGUAGCGGUGAAAUGCUUAGAUAUGACGCAGAACCCCGAUUGCGAAGGCAGCUUGCCAAGCCAUGACUGACGCUGAUGCUCGAAAGCGUGGGGAUCGAACAGGAUUAGAUACCCGAGUAGUC